UACACACAUCCAACUGGUUCUGUGUCUCUGGAGAACCCUGAGCAAUAUACUUUCUCUAAAGGAGAAGACUGGGUGGACACAUUUCUUCUAAACCACCUUUCACUGCCAUCACCACACCCAGCAGUGAGGCUUGCGCGACUUACACGCUUCACAAGUAAUUGAGUGAGAACCAACAACUAGGCGGAAAAUGCUUCAUGGCUUUGCCAGAUAUGAUAUUUAUUUAAACUACUGCUUUGUUCCCGUCUAAGUCAUUGGAUCUAAUGGAAAAGAACAGAAAUUGACUGGAGUAAAUCAAGGGCCCACUCUAAUUAUGAGAAAAACCUCAGACAAAUCCCACCUGAACAACACUCUACAAAAUAACUUACCAGUACUCCUCGAAACUGUCAAGGUCAUCAAAAACAAGGAAAGUCUGAGAAAUCAUCAUAAUCAGGAGGAACUUAAGGAGACAUAAUGAUGAAAUGUAAUGUGAUGUCCUAAAUGGGAUCCUGCAGCAGAAAAUGACAUCAAGCAAAAACUAAGGAAAUCUGAAAUAAGUGAAUAGUGAGCUCCAGUGCAAUGUUGAAGAGAAGUGAUGAGAGUGAACAGUGUUGCCUUGCUC